AGUGAACGCUGGCGGUAGGCCUAACACAUGCAAGUCGAACGGCAGCACAGUAAGAGCUUGCUCUUACGGGUGGCGAGUGGCGGACGGGUGAGGAAUACAUCGGAAUCUACUUUUUCGUGGGGGAUAACGUAGGGAAACUUACGCUAAUACCGCAUACGACCUACGGGUGAAAGCAGGGGAUCUUCGGACCUUGCGCGAUUGAAUGAGCCGAUGUCGGAUUAGCUAGUUGGCGGGGUAAAGGCCCACCAAGGCGACGAUCCGUAGCUGGUCUGAGAGGAUGAUCAGACACACUGGAAGUGAGACACGGUCCAGACUCCUACGGGAGGCAGCAGUGGGGAAUAUUGGACGAUGGGCGCGAGCCUGAUCCAGCCAUACCGCGUGGGUGAAGAAGGCCUUCGGGUUGUAAAGCCCUUUUGUUGGGAAAGAAAAACAGCAGGUUAAUACCCCGCUGUUCUGACGGUACCCAAAGAAUAAGCACCGGCUAACUUCGUG
rnacentral:rRNA from 1 species